CUGAUGCAGCGGCGGACGGGUGAGUAACGCGUGGGAAUCUGCCCAGUAGUGGGGGACAACAGCCGGAAACGGCUGCUAAUACCGCAUACGCCCUACGGGGGAAAGGGGGGGAUCUUCGGACCUCUCGCUAUUGGAUGAGCCCGCGUCGGAUUAGCUAGUUGGUAGGGUAAAGGCCUACCAAGGCUACGAUCCGUAACUGGUCUGAGAGGGCGGACGGACACACUGGGACUGAGACACGGCCCAG
rnacentral:rRNA from 1 species